UACGGGGGGAGCAAGCGUUGUUCGGAUUUACUGGGCGUAAAGGGCGCGUAGGCGGUCAGCACAAGUCAGUUGUGAAAUCUCCGGGCUUAACUCGGAAAAGGUCAACUGAUACUGUGCGACUAGAGUGCAGAAGGGGCAACUGGAAUUCUCGGUGUAGCGGUGAAAUGCGUAGAUAUCAGGAGGAACACCGGUGGCGAAGGCGGGUCUCUGGGCCGAUACUGACGCUGAGGAGCGAAAGCGUGGGGAGCGAACAGG
rnacentral:rRNA from 1 species